CCUACGGGACGCAGCAGUGAGGAAUAUUGGUCAAUGGGCGGGAGCCUGAACCAGCCAAGCCGCGUGAGGGAAGAAGGUACAGCGUAUCGUAAACCUCUUUUGUCAGGGAACAAAGGCGGGGACUAGUCCCCGGAUGAGGGUACCUGAAGAAAAAGCAUCGGCUAACUCCGUGCCAGCAGCCGCGGUAAUACGGAGGAUGCGAGCGUUAUCCGGAUUUAUUGGGUUUAAAGGGUGCGUAGGCGGAAUAUCAAGUCAGCGGUAAAAAUUCGGGGCUCAACCCCGCCGUGCCGUUGAAACUGAUGUUC
rnacentral:rRNA from 1 species